CAUGUGUGUGUGUGUGUGUGUGUGUGUGUGUGUGUGUGUGUGUGUGUGUACUCAGCGACACAGUAGAUAGAUGAACCUUGGUGUGUUGAGGGCUUAGCACAAUGGAUCGUUGGACCAAGCAGAGUGGAGAGAUAGUGUGUACGGUUACUGUUAAGCACCUGAAGAAAAGAAUGUGUAUGGGUGGUAGGGUGCUCAGUGGAUGGCGGUGGUGGUGGAGGUGAAGUGAGAAGUGUGUGGGUGGUAGAGUGACAGACAUGUGGUAUAGUGAUGAUAGUGUAAAUAAAUAUGGCAAGGUGUUAGAUUGAUGAUUGUGUGUGACGCCAAGCCCUUUCCCUCCACCGUUCCCUACUUCCGGCCACCACUACCACCACCACCACCACCACCAACAGCAACAACAACAACAUCUCUGACACCUCCACUGAUACCCGCCAUGAAGCAGUAGUAGCAACAAUAAUGAUGAAAAAAAAGACCAAAGCGAUCUCUCACUCUCUCACUGGACUGGGCGGCGCUUCACUCUUGACGAAAACAAAAGAAAACAAACCCUGCAGACAAACAUGAAGCAAAACCAGAUGAAUUCUUAAGGUGUGGAUACAAAAACUACAACUCUACAUCUACAUCUACAGGGAGAGGCACAUCGCGGCCUCUCCUGCCUUCCCCACGCGAUGCCUACUAGCAGAGGAGCUCACAUAAGCAGCGACUUCUCAUCUGGAAAUACCAAGAGGAAAGUGUCAAGAGGAGGGGAGGAAGAGGAUGGGGGCGGGGGCAGGGGCAGUGGCAGUGAGGCG